GAUACGGCCCAGACUCCUACGGGAGGCAGCAGUGGGGAAUAUUGCACAAUGGGCGCAAGCCUGAUGCAGCGACGCCGCGUGGGGGAUGAAGGCCUUCGGGUUGUAAACUCCUUUCGCUAGGGACGAAGCUUUUUGUGACGGUACCUAGAUAAGAAGCACCGGCUAACUACGUGCCAGCAGCCGCGGUAAUACGUAGGGUGCGAGCGUUGUCCGGAAUUACUGGGCGUAAAGGGCUCGUAGGUGGUUUGUCGCGUCGUCUGUGAAAUUCUGGGGCUUAACUCCGGGCGUGCAGGCGAUACGGGCAUAACUUGAGUGCUGUAGGGGUAACUGGAAUUCCUGGUGUAGCGGUGAAAUGCGCAGAUAUCAGGAGGAACACCGAUGGCGAAGGCAGGUUACUGGGCAGUUACUGACGCUGAGGAGCGAAAGCAUGGGUAGCGAACAGGAUUAGAUACCCUGGUAGUCCAUGCCGUAAACGGUGGGCGCUAGGUGUGAGGGUCUUUCUACGACUUUCGUGCCGUAGCUAACGCAUUAAGCGCCCCGCCUGGGGAGUACGGCCGCAAGGCUAAAACUCAAAGGAAUUGACGGGGGCCCGCACAAGCGGCGGAGCAUGUGGAUUAAUUCGAUGCAACGCGAAGAACCUUACCUGGGCUUGACAUACACCAGAUUGGGCUAGAGAUAGUUCGUCCCUUUGUGGUUGGUGUACAGGUGGUGCAUGGUUGUCGUCAGCUCGUGUCGUGAGAUGUUGGGUUAAGUCCCGCAACGAGCGCAACCC
rnacentral:rRNA from 1 species